GAAAUGCGAUACGUAGUGUGAAUUGCAGAAUUCAGUGAAUCAUCGAAUCUUUGAACGCACAUUGCGCCCUUUGGUAUUCCAAAGGGCAUGCCUGUUCGAGCGUCAUUUGUACCCUCAAGCUUUGCUUGGUGUUGGGCGUUUUUUGUCCUUGGCUCGCCCAAAGACUCGCCUUAAAACGAUUGGCAGCCGGCCUACUGGUUUCGCAGCGCAGCACAUUUUUGCGCUUGCAAUCAGCAAAAGAGGACGGCAAUCCAUCAAGACUCCUUCUCACGUUUGACCUCGGAUCAGGUAGGGAUACCCGCUGAACUUAAGC
rnacentral:misc_RNA from 1 species